rnacentral:rRNA from 1 species
GAUGAACGCUGGCGGCGUGCCUAAUACAUGCAAGUCGAGCGAACGGACGAGAAGCUUGCUUCUCUGAUGUUAGCGGCGGACGGGUGAGUAACACGUGGAUCACCUACCUAUAAGACUGGGAUAACUUCGGGAAACCGGAGAUAAUACCGGAUAAUAUUUUGAACCGCAUGGUUCAAAAGUGAAAGACGGUCUUGCUGUCACUUAUAGAUGGAUCCGCGCUGCAUUAGCUAGUUGGUAAGGUAACGGCUUACCAAGGCAACGAUGCAUAGCUGACCUGAGAGGGUGAUCGGCCACACUGGAACUGAGACACGGUCCAGACUCCUACGGGAGGCAGCAGUAGGGAAUCUUCCGCAAUGGGCGAAAGCCUGACGGAGCAACGCCGCGUGAGUGAUGAAGGUCUUCGGAUCGUAAAGCUCUGUUAUUAGGGAAGAACAUAUGUGUAAGUAACUGUGCACAUCUUGACGGUACCUAAUCAGAAAGCCACGGCUAACUACGUG